rnacentral:rRNA from 1 species
GACGAACGCUGGCGGCGUGCUUAACACAUGCCAGUCGAACGGAAAGGCCCUGCUUUUGUGGGGUGCUCGAGUGGCGAACGGGUGAGUAACACGUGAGUAGCCUGCCCUUGACUUUGGGAUAACUUCAGGAAACUGGGGCUAAUACCGGAUAGGAGCUCCUGCUGCAUGGUGGGGGUUGGAAAGUUUCGGCGGUUGGGGAUGGACUCGCGGCUUAUCAGCUUGUUGGUGGGGUAGUGGCUUACCAAGGCUUUGACGGGUAGCCGGCCUGAGAGGGUGACCGGCCACAUUGGGACUGAGAUACGGCCCAGACUCCUACGGGAGGCAGCAGUGGGGAAUAUUGCACAAUGGGCGGAAGCCUGAUGCAGUAACGCCGCGUGCGGGAUGACGGCCUUCGGGUUGUAAACCGCUUUCGCCUGUGACGAAGCGUGAGUGACGGUAAUGGGUAAAGAAGCACCGGCUAACUACGUG